GACGAACGCUGGCGGCGUGCCUAAUACAUGCAAGUAGAACGCUGUUGCGAACGGGUGUGUAACGCGUAGGUAACUGCCUGGUAGCGGGGGGUAACUAUUGGUAACGCUAGCUAUUAUAGCAUACUACCAGAUGGACAUGCGUUGUAUUAGAUAGUUGGUGGGGUAAAGGCUCACCACGGCACCGAUACAUAGCCGACCUGCGAGGGGGAUCGGCCACACUGGGACUGGGACACGGCCCAGACUCCUACGGGAGGGAGCAGUAGGGGAUCUUCGGCAAUGGACGGAAGUCUGACCGAGCAAAGCCGCGUGAGUGAAGAAGGUUUUCGGAUCGUAAAGCUCUGUUGUAAGAGAAGCGGUAUCUAACCAGAAAGGGACGGAUAACUACGUGCCAGCAGCCGCGGUAAUAC
rnacentral:rRNA from 1 species